rnacentral:rRNA from 1 species
CCUACGGGGUGCUGCAGUGAGGAAUAUUGGUCAAUGGGCGGAAGCCUGAACCAGCCAAGUAGCGUGCGGGAUGAAGGCCCUACGGGUCGUAAACCGCUUUUGCACGGGGAUAACACCCUCCACUUGUGGAGGUCUGCAGGUACCGUGCGAAUAAGGGCCGGCUAAUUCCGUGCCAGCAGCCGCGGUAAUACGGAAGGCCCGAGCGUUAUCCGGAUUCAUUGGGCUUAAAGGGAGCGUAGGCGGGCGUUCAAGUCAGCUGUAAAAUCGCGCGGCUCAACCGCGCCCCGCAGUUGAAACUGGACGCCUUGAGUUCACAACAGGCAGGCGGAAUUCGUGGUGUAGCGGUGAAAUGCAUAGAUAUCACGAGGAACCCCGAUUGCGAAGGCAGCCUGCCGGGGUGCGACUGACGCUGAGGUUCGAAAGCGUGGGUAGCAAACAGGAUUAGAUACCCCAGUAGUC